GGAAGGAUCAUUAUUGAAUAAAACUGGUUGGGUUGUUGCUGACUCUUAGGAGUAUGUGCACACCUGGCUUCAUUUUAUUACCACCUGUGCACUCUUUGUAGACCUUGAACAUUUCUCGGGAUUAAAAACUCGGAUUGAGGACAUGCCUUUUGGGCUGUUCCUUGUGUUCUUGGUCUAUGUUUAUUAUUAUACUCUUUAAAUGUAACGGAAUGUUAAUUAUGGCCUCUGUGCCUUUAAUUAUAAUACAACUUUCAACAACGGAUCUCUUGGCUCUCGCAUCGAUGAAGAACGCAGCGAAAUGCGAUAAGUAAUGUGAAUUGCAGAAUUCAGUGAAUCAUCGAAUCUUUGAACGCACCUUGCGCUCUUUGGUAUUCCGAAGAGCAUGCCUGUUUGAGUGUCAGUAAAUUUAUCAACCUUUCUAACUUGUUUAGUAAGGAUUGGAAUAUGGGGGUGUUGCAGGCUUGUAAUAAAGUCGGCUCCCCUUAAAAGUAUUAGUGAGGCCUAUGUUGCCCAUCACUGGUGUGAUAAUUAUCUACGCCAUUGAAGGUCUUCAAUUUUAAAAGGACUUGCUUAUAACUGUCUCAUUAGAGACAAUCUGACAAAUUUGACCUCAAAUCAGGUAGGACUACCCGCUGAACUUAAGCAUAUCAAUAAGCGGAGGAAAAGAAACUAACAAGGAUUCCCUUAGUAACUGCGAGUGAAGUGGGAAAAGCUCAAAUUUAAAAUCUGGUAGUCUUUGGCUGCCCGAGUUGUAAUCUAGAGAAGCAUUAUCCGCGCCGGACCGUGUAUAAGUUUUCCUGGAAUGGAGCGUCAUAGAGGGUGAGAAUCCCGUCUUUGACACGGACUACCGGGGCUUUGUGAUGUGCUCUCAAAGAGUCGAGUUGUUUGGGAAUGCAGCUCUAAAUGGGUGGUAAAUUCCAUCUAAAGCUAAAUAUUGGCGAGAGACCGAUAGCGAACAAGUACCGUGAGGGAAAGAUGAAAAGAACUUUGGAAAGAGAGUUAAACAGUACGUGAAAUUGUUGAAAGGGAAACGCUUGAAGUCAGUCGCGUCUGCUGGGGAUCAACCUUGCAAUUUUGCUAGGCGUACUUCCCAGUUGACGGGUCAGCAUCAAUUUUGAUCAGUGGAAAAAAUUCAAGGGAAUGUGGCACCUUCGGGUGUGUUAUAGCCUUUGUUUGUAUACACUGAUUGGGAUUGAGGAACUCAGCACGCCGCAAGGCCGGGUCUUUGACUACGUUCGUGCUUAGGAUGCUGGCAUAAUGGCUUUAAUCGACCCGUCUUGAAACACGGACCAAGGAGUCUAACAUGCCCGCGAGUGUUUGGGUGGUAAACCCAGACGCGUAAUGAAAGUGAAGGUUGAGAUCCCUGUCGUGGGGAGCAUCGACGCCCGGACCAGAACUUUUGUGACGGAUCCGCGGUAGAGCGUGUAUGUUGGGACCCGAAAGAUGGUGAACUAUGCCUGAAUAGGGUGAAGCCAGAGGAAACUCUGGUGGAGGCUCGUAGCGAUUCUGACGUGCAAAUCGAUCGUCAAAUUUGGGUAUAGGGGCGAAAGACUAAUCGAACCAUCUAGUAGCUGGUUCCUGC
rnacentral:misc_RNA from 1 species